rnacentral:lncRNA from 1 species
CUUUUGGUUUAAAGCUUCGAUGCAGAAUACGUUUCGAAAUGCAUUUAUUGUGCAUCUAUUUAGCAUUAGUUUUAGUUACAAGAUGCAAUAAAAGAACAUUUACAUUAUGUCUGUAUGUUUUCAUGAUAUUGGUAAUUGGUAGUAAACUGAACUGGUCCCUCAGCGUAUAAAAAGAAGAAAAUAUGGAUCCCACGACAAAGAGACAAAAACAUUAUGACACUUAACCUUAGGCAUUUAGAUGUCUGCAACAACAAACAAAUAAAUAGACAAAACAUGCAUCUCUAAUAUAUCAACCCGAUUGUGAAAAAGCUGCAAAUACAUUUAACAGUGAUUGUUACAGAUUUGCAAUUAAACAGAAUGCACUUACGAACAACAAAAAACAUUAGAACAUAACUUAAGUCAACCACUAACGAGGAUCCUGACUUAGGACAGAUGCGUGAAAAAUGGAAGCGUUAACUGAGUUCCAUUCAUUAGUCGAGUGACAGUUAUCACCGAAGACGUCUAGUUAGUAGUUUAAACUUCAAUAAAUGUAAAUUGUUAUUGAAAGAG